UACGGAGGGGACUAGCGUUGUUCGGAAUUACUGGGCGUAAAGCGCACGUAGGCGGAUUUGUAAGUCAGGGGUGAAAUCCCGGGGCUCAACCUCGGAUCUGCCUUUGAUACUGCAAAUCUCGAGUCCGGAAGAGGUGAGUGGAAUUCCUAGUGUAGAGGUGAAAUUCGUAGAUAUUAGGAAGAACACCAGUGGCGAAGGCGGCUCACUGGUCCGGUACUGACGCUGAGGUGCGAAAGCGUGGGGAGCAAACAGG
rnacentral:rRNA from 1 species